GAUCUAUUUUUAAAUUGAAUAUUUAUUUUUAUUCAAAUAUAUUGAAAUUAAUAUGGAAACAAAAGUUCAUAAAUAUUAUUCUUAAUAACAAGAAUUGAGAUUUGGGGAUAAGUUGGAAAAGCCAUGUCAGAAGAGUAGGAUUAAAGACAAAGUAUUAAGAGUAAUUGGGCUGUUCCUGAACAAUAUUGAAUAUAAAUAUUCAAAAAUA